CGCUCAACGAAUUUGACACAAUUACAAAACUAAAUACGUAAAACCUAAUUGAACUAUUUGUAGCUUUGGUUUCGAUUUCAAUUCUUCGGUGCCUUUUUCCUAUUCUUCAUUCGCAAUUUUCUUGCUCGCAUUCGUAAUGAAAUCAUGUAGAAAAUGGAACACACAAACACAUAUAUACAUAUAUAUAUAUAUAUAUUGUGUGCACAUGUAUGUGUGAAAGCAACAGGCUACGCAGCAGCAGCAGAAAACGAAAAAAAAAGUCAUAUACACAAAAAAGCGAAUCUAUUAUUCUUUCUAGAUCAAAGUUCAAUACAUGUUUUUUUCUUAUUUUUGGCCCGCAAUAUGGUAAAUAUCAUAUAUUUGCGGAUAUUACGCAUACGCCACAUACGCCGCAUACGACACCCCAAAUAUGCCGGAUUAGGUCUUUGUUUUAUCAACCGCAAUUAAUUAUCCGUGCUGUAGACCAUUUUAACGACUUUCCUGUGUGCAAAGAAAUUAUAUAUUUAUUUACAUUUUAUUAGUCCAGGCAAUUAUUGUUGCCAAAUCGCGAUGAUAUCACCCAUAGCGCCCACAGAUACCCCAAUCCCUUUCCCUUUCCCGUUGCCGUUGCCGUUCCCGCUGCCAUUGCCGUACCCGUCCCGCCAGAACCAUCAUCAUUGUCACUGGCAACAUGGCGAGGGACGUUGGGACAGUGUCAACAUACUCAGACUCGAGGGCGUGAACAACUAUAAUUUGUAAUGCAAUACGCUCCGGUUUGCAUAGAGUCCAACAAAGCUUCCAACCCAAUAUAUAUAUGUACAUAUGAUAGAUACAUAUACCAACAUAUAUAUGCAUAUAUAAACAGAAAAUAGAAACAGAAGCAACGAAAUGUCUCCCUGUGUGUUAGUGCCCAACCCCAUCUCUAGCGCUUAUCUUUCAGAGUAUACAAAUUACUUAUCAGACAUUGCCAAACAUCAUGGCAAACUAUAUAUGUACAUAUAUAUAAUAACCGCCAACAUGAGAAAUUCUAUCCCAAAUGAGCUAAAGGUGUUUUCUUUUUAUGGGUUGGGCCCAACCACCUGUAGCCAGACACACAAAUACAUGCUCGUCUUUGGAAAUUCUAUUGUACUUGGUAACAAGUAACCAGAGUAAUGGGUUCCUGCCAGUUCUUAUAUACAUUAUGCCCUACCACCUGUAGCUAUAUACUUAUAUAUAUGCUGUUCUCGGGGCUGUUAACUAGAAUACGGUCUGCCCUCAUAUCGUAUUAUUAUGCCCUUGGGAUUGAGUGCAACUAACCUGUUCUUAAUCAGUCUGAAAAGCUGAGCCCGGACUGACACACCAGUUCGUGUCUAUGACACAUAAUUUCAACUUGAAAAAUUAUAUUUACGAAUUGUGCUUCGCUCGCUAUUGACUGAAAGUGAUUAUACAACUCGAGCCGGCAUAAUUUUAUACUGUGUCAUAAAUGUAAUAUUUUAAUAGAUCUAUUGACUUUGUGAAUCCAUUAGGCUGAUUAACUAUUUGGAAUUCAAAUGCUUUCUUUGCCAGUUUUCGAAUCUGCUGAAAUUUGUUAAUUACUUUAUAGUACAAACAGUUAUUAUAUAUUUUUUCUUAAUUUAUGAUCGAACUUACUUAUUGCCGAUAUUUAAUUGCAUAAUUAUUGUUGAACUUUGCUUGAUUUAUAGGAUCCAGAGAUAUUGUCAGAGAUAGAGUCUCAGACCGUAAACAAAUUUUAAUUAGCGGAAAAACAAUCCAAUUAUUAUACAAAUCUAUCCGAAAACGAUUUAUACAAUUGAUUUAUACAAUUUUAUUCCGAUCUACAAAAGUCCUCUAAGAAUGCCCACAGCCAUAAAGAUAUAUUGCUAAAAUCCGAAACAGAUUUAUAUAAUUGUUUUCUUCAGUUCGAUUCUGAACUACAAAUGUCCCCUAAAUAAUCAGGCACAGCUUUAAAUAUAAUUGUUUUCUGCGGUUCAAUUCUAUUCUGUUCAACAAAUGUUUUGUUAAUACUUGGUUUGCAUUGAGAUAAAAACGAGUCACAAUAUGAAUGCUCGCCCCAUAUGCUAAGUAAAUUUUUGGUAAUUUAUGUUAAUAAUUAAUAUGUCAGUUGCCAUAAUGUGGCACGCUUAAGCCGAUUGCCCACAUAAAUGUUUAUUAAAAAUGACUUGCCAAGAAAUUAUGGAUCAACUUCUAGUUAAGGUUCAUUGCACGGCUGUUGAGAUUUGCAAUGCUUUCAAAAAAAAAAAAACAAAAAACAGCGCAGACACUAAAAAAACCGAAUCACGCUGAAUAUAUUGAUUUCUGUAAGGGCUUGCCAUGCAGUUUGUCAUAUUUGUUUAUGUAAGCUUCUGAUGACACUUUAAAUUAACAACCUAGUGCUAGUCAAUCGGUCGAGUGACGAUUGCACUUAGCUUUAUAGCUGAUUGAAUAUUCUGGAGUUUAAUUGGAAGCCCCUUUGCCGGACCGGACAAUGCGAUCUUUAGUAAGCUAAUCAGUUGCAUCUAAUUAAACUAAUAGCAUUAUCAACAUUGAUAGUCUUAUUAUUUUAUGACGCGUUGCAAUUCACCUAUUGCCAAAGAUAACACUAAUCUUUGCACGUGCUUGGGUCCCAAUCUCUUGGGUCUGUUUUAUUUAUUUAGCUGAUUAUAGGUUUCGAUAACCUUGACGCAUGAGGGAUCAACUCUGACUAGAAGAGAGAUGGUUAUGAUUCCUUAUAAGUACCGGGCCUUGAAGCAUGUUUGAUAUUAAACACAUUUCUUUGCAGUUCAUUUGUUUAUGCAAAUACCUGCUAACAUACUAUAAAUAAUUUGUUUAUGAAAGCGAGAAUUCGAAAUGAUCAAUAAUGUUAUGUUUACUUUAACUACAAAUGAAAAUUUACGGACAGUAUUAGAAAUAGAUCAGAUGCGUAUUGAUUGAUAUAGCCAAAGUCUGCCUCACGCAUUCAAGAGCUUCUAUAUAUAGUUUAAACAUAUAGCAAAUCAUUUAAUAUCAUUUGUUUUUAUUGCUCUGCAUAGAAUAGAUUUUUCAAAGUUUCCUUCAACUUCAUCUAAUAGACGACUAUCUUGUGGUCUUAAUGCAACAAGAAAGAAUGCCAAGCUUAGGCACACCGAAGCUUUAUAACUCUUGGAGAAAUAUGGCAUGGAAAACUUAAAGAUUUCAUGCCAAGAAGUUUAUCAUAAAUUUGUAGAUGGGUAUUAUCAAAUUACAAGUAGAGUAUCAUAAUUGUUAUCUUUUUUUGUAGCAUGCAAAAUUUGCUGAAACCCCGUUAGCUUUAAUCUCUGAGAACGAUGCCUUUUAAUCAAACGACUGCUGACUAGGACAACAAACUGUGCUAAAGUCUUUAGAUAAUCACAAGUUUCAUUUAUAAUAAUAUUCUUAAAUAGAUAUCUUGGUAGCCGCACAGUUUGCAUAUAAUUAUAUACAUUAGAUAUUCAAGAAAUUGUGAAAAAGCCAACGACAAUGUUAAUACAAUUUACUUUAAUUGAUAGCAAGUGGCAUACCCGACUUCUGGUCAAGUGUUUGCGUUCCCAAGCCACAAUAUCUAGCACAUAAUAUAUGUAUUUAUUGCAUUCACUUACCGACCUGCAGUUCAGCGUCGUGGACGAAGGACAGCGCCCUUUCCACAUUGACAUAUUUAUAUAGUUCAUGCACAUGGCAGGGCUCUUAAUGAUGGUCUUUGGAGGAGUCAUGAGAACCUGAGCGCCUGGCUUUGCUGGCCUUAUUUGGCUGUGCACUUCCACGCGUAUUGUUUCCAUCAAUGCUAUUGACAUUUUUCAAAGGCUUUUUGUAAGACUUGCUUGAGUCAUUAAUUCAAUGGUCACGUAGUAAUAAAAAAUUCUAAAGCCAGUCUGAGGCUGCGCGCUGCGGGCUGCGGGCCAGGCCAUUCAAAACGCAGGAAUUUCGUUGCGCAAGCUGAGACAAAUGCCGUAAGAAAUGAACAAACAAACACAUAGGCCAAAGCAAGAAAAUGCUAAACACACCAUCCGCUGCAAGCCGCUGUACCCCGCUGUACCCCCUCAAAAGGCUACUUCAGAUUCACUUUUCGCGGUUUCAACUGCGACGGUCGCCGAACCUCUGACAAUCAACUGUUAGUUGAGCUGCUGCUGCUGCUGCUGUUAUCGUUGUUGUUGUUGCUGCUGUUGCUGCUGCUGCUGCUGCUGUUAUUGUUGCUGCUGCUGUGCAGCGACCGCGACGGUCUUGACGGUUCUUUUUUUUCAACCUUUUUCGGCUAGUGUUUUUUUUUUUUUUCAAGUUUUUGUAAUUCGAAUUUUGCAAUUUGUGCCAUUUUUUGAUGUUUUAUUUCUGUUUGACGACGACUUGAUGUCCACAAAUGCCAUUAACAAAUGCCAUAUUUUUUCAAGUUGUUCAUCCCAAGUGCUUGUUGUUUUUGCUACUGUACUUAAUGUUGUUGUUGUUGUGGUUGCUGUUAUUUACACAGUCUUUGUCUGUUCUACGCCUUUAACUGUCUUCGUCUUCGUCGUCGUCGUCGUCUUCAUCAGCUUCAGCUUCAGCUCAUGCGCGCAUUGCGGCAAAUUUUUUUAUUACCGCAAUAGAGAUUUCACAAAAGCUGAGCAUAGUUGAUUUCGUGAGGCUGUUUGUUACCUCAGGUUGUUACUAAAUUAUUUAAGACUUGGUCUAACUAUUUUAUUUUCUAUAAUAUUUUGUUGAAUUUUGUUCACUGCUCUUGUUUUUAGCAUAAAUUAAUAUGUGUAUAUUUGUAUUUAUUUAUAUUGUUGCUUUUUGGCAUAUAAUUUAAAAGAUAUUUUUAAGCUUUCGGUUCGGUUCACAAAAAACUUGCUCAUGAACUGGUUAUCUGAGCUCAAAACAUAAAUAACCAUGAACAAAAUAAGCACAUUAUUUUUGCAUUAUCUAACAAAUGAAGUUAAACAAGCCUAAAAUAAAAAAAAAGAACACGAUCAGUAUUUCAAUUCCUCUUGUAUAUAUAACAAGUAUAGGAGCGUCGGUGUUGUCCUAUCGACCAAAUAAUACCUAUCAGUUGUUUGCACUUUAUGUUUGCAUAUUCAUUUACAAAAUUCACAAAAUAUCAUGAGAGAGCACGCAUAUCUUCUCUGGGCAAAGCUGUGCUAACCAGCCAUUAUUAUGAUAGACCGGUGACGGGAAGGUCGUUUGCAAUUUAUUUCAUUCUAUGGGCCACUUGUUAAUGUUUUUAUAAUUUUUAUUGUUUUUGUAUAUAUUUUUGUUGUAUUUUAAUUUAUAAUAUAUAUCUUUUUGAUGUAUGCAUAUUGUGUUCGUUGUUGUUGACUCACGAGCUAUAUAGGAAUUUUUGUAUGUGUCGGUUCUUAUCGCCGAAAAAAUGUCUACGACCGAAACUUAAACUUGAAAAUUUUAUAUUAAACAUCGCUCGAUUGUUGACUCUUUUAUUUUGUUGUUGUUUUUACUUAGCUGUCGACGCGUUUUGCAUUGCCAAAUUGAAUUUGAUAUGCGUAUUAUUACUGUUGUUGUAGGCUCUUCUUUGUUAUUGUAUUAUUCCAUUUAUUGGAUUCUGUUUUGUUUUCAGUCGCAGUCGCAGUCGCUGCCGCCGUCGGCGUCGGCGUCGCAGUCGCUGCGCCAAUCGACGUCGCGACGGCCGCUCAGUUGUUGCCAGUUGCUUCUUCCGCAGUUAUCAGCUGUUCGUCUUUCUGGCCGAUUGCGCGCAUGCUGGUUUAUGCAAUGGUUCAGCGGUUCAAGAGCUUGACCCAGAAAGCCUGUAAUUAAACAUUUAUGUAAAGUUCGCCUUGAAAGAGAGGUCUCUUGCAUUAUAAAAGUGUAACAAUUAUAAAUUGCAGCAAUGAUUAUGCAUUAAAAAGUAUUUAACAAUAGCACUUGCUAAGCGAAAUUUAAGUGAAUUCCGAAACACAACGAAACAGUGACAAAAAAA